rnacentral:rRNA from 1 species
UACGUAGGGGGCAAGCGUUGUCCGGAUUUAUUGGGCGUAAAGAGCGUGUAGGCGGCCUGAAAGGUCAGCUGUGAAAACUCGAGGCUCAACCUCGAGACGUCGGUUGAAACCAUCUGGCUAGAGUCCGGAAGAGGAGUGUGGAAUUCCCGGUGUAGCGGUGAAAUGCGCAGAUAUCGGGAAGAACACCGGUGGCGAAGGCGGGUCUCUGGGCCGAUACUGACGCUGAGAAGCGAAAGCGUGGGGAGCGAACAGG